rnacentral:misc_RNA from 1 species
UUUUUCUCUUACUGCUACCGUGCGCCUACACAACCACAGAAGGGAGGAGAAUAACACCACCGACAACGGUGACGCCGAGCAACAACAAAGUAAACACCAAGAAAGAAACAGGAACACACACACACACAGACAGGAAAGAGGAGGCCUCUGUAUUCCCUCCUCCUCUACCUCCUACUCCGCGAGACUUCCUCCCCUCUUCCUUCUUCAUCCUCUGCCCGGCGUUUAUUCUUUGUUGUUGUUUUCUCUUUCGCUUGCUUCCGUUGUUUGGUUCACGCCCAAGCUACGAAACUCGCAACUGAGCUCCCCCUCUCUCUCUUGCCGACCUCUUCCCUUCCUCCCCUCUUCCCUGUGUUGUGUUGGUCUUCAUCUACUCGAAUACGCGCACAUACAAACGCAAAAACCAGUGCGCGUGCCCUUUGUUCGUAUGCACGUGUGUGCGCGUGCUCUUGCGUGAGCGAGAUCUUCUCUUGCCUCUAUCAACCAUACCUCGACUAGACCUCCUUUGUUCUGUUGGGCGUGGGCGUGCGUGAGUGUGUCUCUCCCCUCCCUCCUCGCCUGCCUGUGUGUUCCCUUUGUGAUUUGUAGCUGUAUGCCGUGUAGCCGCGAAGGCAUCCAUUUUUUUUUUGUGCGUGUGUGUGUGUGUGUGUGUGGGGGGGUAUUCGUGUGUACGAUUUGCACUCCUGUACAUACCCUGAGUCUCCGAGCCGUGUGUCUCCGCGCGUGCGUGCGCCAUACCCGUCUCUCUUUCUAACGCCAACACUAUCACAGGCGCUUGUGUUCUCUCUUUUUUGUUUCGGCGGUGCUUUUGAAGUUGCUCUUGUUGGCCAUUCGCCCACGUCUCCAACGCACUUCUCUCCCCCUUCUCCCCCCUCUCCCACACAAACGCACCACAUUCACGGAGAUCUCCUAGCUGGUUGGGGUAAUCUGACUCUCCUUGCUUUGGCGUUGUUUUGCGUUGCCUUUGGCUGUUGUUGUUCUCAUUCUCUCUUGCGAUCUGCGCCCCCUCCCUCCAUCGCUGUGUGCUUGUGCGUGUGUGUCUUCUCGCUUCUGUUCCCGUUGCGUUUCUGUUACGACGCCGGGGCCGUUCAGACAAGCGCGACUGAGUGACGCGGUGAGGUCAAUUUUCAUCUCUUUUCUCUGUUUCCGUUUUUCCUCUUCUGCACCCAGAAUCAGCUUCAUCGAUUCUUGUGCGUUUGAUUCGAGUGUGGCUGCGUGUGUGUCUCUCUGUGAGCGUGCGUGCGUGUGGUCACGUGAUUCACCACUUCGUUUUUUUUUGUUCUCGUCUUUCUUCCCCUGCGACUCUGCCUUGUGCCUGACUUGAUCUGUCCCAAGCUUCUCCUGGUCUUCGUUAUAUCUAUCUCACACGGCCCCUUCUCGUCUCGUAGUCGCGCACACCGACACACACACACACAAAUUAAGAGAACACCAAACAAACAGCAUUAGAAAGAAAGCUCACCCGAAUCCGGCACGUGCUCCUUAAAUCUCCUCCUGUAGGCCACCUCCUUGUUCUUUCCAUUUUCGCUUUCUCUCUCUCUGUCUGUGCGUGUGUGUGCGGAUAUCUCCACAUCUAUGUGCAUGCAUGCAUGCAUGUGUGCGCGUGUGUGUGCAUGCAUGUGUCGGUAUGUGUAGGGCAGCAUAUGAUUUUUGUUCUUCGCGUCUCGGUGUGCUGUUAAUUUUUCUGUCUUGGCGUUUUGUUUCCUUGUCGCCUGCGUCAUUAUCACCGGUGUCUCUCUCCCUCCCUCCCCCCUCCCCGCCUUCCCCUCUCUUUCUGAUUGACGCGCUGAUCGUGGGUGAUCCUUGCCGGCUGUGGGGUCUUCUAUGCACCUACCUCUCUCUCUGACGUUCUUGUGAGUGUACGUGUGUUCGGAGGCGCCUGCGCGUCUCCCCAUCUGCGUACUCCCUGCUUGACCUCUUCUUUCCGUGCGCCCUCACCCCUAUCCCCUUGCAUUUUUUAAUUGUUCCCUAUAUAUGUAUAUAUAAAUACAUAUCUUGCGUGCGUGCGUGCGUGCAUCUGUUGCUGCUGUUCAUGCUUUCGCCUCGCUCUUUGUUCCCUUCAGUCCUAUCUUCUGUGGUUUUGGUAUCUUCUUCGGCUCUUGUCCCUGCAGUCCCUCCCUCGCUCUUCCCCUCCUGCGUCACAGUCGGCACGCUUCCAGACCUCCCCCUUCCCCACCCCUUCUGCAGGUCGUUGAGUGCAGAAAAGUUUCUUCGUUGUUUCUUCCCUUUUCUUUUAUUUUUUUUUCUGUUCAACGACCAAAAAGAAGACGCCGCUUCCUUCCCUCCCCCUCGUCCCUGCCUUUCACUGUGCGUGAUCUCUCCCUCUGCGCGUGCGCGUUGGUGUGUAUUUCUUCCGGUGCAGGCACGCCCCCUCUCUCUCCUUCCUGUUUCGUCUUGCCGGCUUUUUUUUCUCGUUUCUCAUCUCUUUCCGGGACCACGCUGAGUGGUGCUGUGUGUGUGUGUGUGUGCCCGUGCCGAUUUUCUGCUUGGUGAACUGUCUGCCGUCGUUUCUAUAUUAGCACGCCCGCCACUCGUGGAACCACGGUUUGCUUCUCUCCUUUGCUUUGGACUUUGUUGUUUUCGGCCACGGGCCACACCAUCACCGCCCUUCAGCGUAUUCGCGGUGCCUCGCGCACACUCUUUGUUUACCGUUGUUGUUAACGGCGUCCUCCUGUAGGCUAGCACACGUAUACGCGACACUUCAUCGCUGGUACACUACGCGGGCUGCAACGUACCGAAGUACAGGCGACGAGACACGCCAAUGGGGCCCGACUGCACCGCCGGAGGUAACGGCGGUGGCGCCCACCGUUACCCUCCUCAUCGUGAUGUGCGCGGUGACGAGGAAGCGUCACCGCGCUGCCCCUCUCCCCACCGCAUGCGACUGCAGAAACAGCAGUGCUUUCAGUCGUCUCCCGAGAAUCAACAGCAGCAGCAUCCUCGUGCGCUGUCCUCCUCCAACCCGGGCUCGCCACUCAUGUACACUGUCUGCCCUGCCACGCCCGACAGAAGCAUGAACCCAUACGACCGAGCAUCCCCCCUUUAUCGCAGCCACGCAUCGCCGCACAGUCGACUCGGCGACUCGGCAUCGCCGAGCAGCGCCAUGACGGAGGCCGGCAUGUAUGAGAGCAACUCUGAUCUCUCCGCUGUCUGCCCCACUUGGUUCAACCGGUGCGCGGCAUCAUCGCCUUCCCUGUCGUCGGUGAUGGCCUCGCGCCACUUGCCUCCGUUGCAGGCUCACUCGCCAGACCCGCAGAGCCGCUGCCCGCAGCCGUUCAACUCCAUCGCAGCCGCCGUUUCAUACUCGUCGCCGCUCGGCGUUGCUUCCAACGAGUCCCCUCACAUGAAAACCGCGCUGACAUCGUUCGGCGAAGCCUCCUGGGGCGGCUUGACGAGCCCGAACUCUAACCGUGGUGGCAUGAUGGCCAGCGCUCCGCAGCAGCAGAGCCUCGGCAACUGCCGCAGCAACGUGGGGCACGUGAUGCUUCCAGAAGAGGUGUCUCACCCGAGCAAGCUCGCCCAGUCUGGGAUGCUGAACUCUUCGCCAUCGCACUCUGGAGGCGCCGGCCCCGCCCGAGUGAGCGGCGCCUCACCAUAUCAGUGCGCCUUGGAUGGGCUGGCCUCCCAGCAGCAGGAAAAGCAGCAGCAAUCGACACUGGAGCGCUAUGCGCCUGGCAACGUCACAACACCCGUCGGCGCAAGCUCUUCCGCGGCGGCAGGAGGUGCUAGCCCGGGUAGUGUCCCCACCGGCGAUGCUGAUGCGGACAAGAUCGUCCCACGGCAGCACGGUGACAACAACUCACUGGCGCUCAACAGUUCGCUUGAGGAGCGGCUACCCACAACUGCAGCUUCGGUGCCCCACCGGCACACCUCGCCGUCUUCGGUAAGCUGGCCCCGCGAUGCAUUCGCGUCGUCACCCUUCAGCCGAGAUGCGCCGCCAUCUUCGCACCUCCAUCCGCGAGCCGCUAUAUCGCCGGCGCGCGAGUCGACGCCGGUGAUGCCGCUGAAGACGUCGCCAAAAACCACCUCUACGCCUCUCCGAGUCGACGAUAGUGCGCCGGGUGGGGUAGAAGCUGACUGCUUCAGUGAAGCUCGCGGCUCGCGGGCGUCGCCGCCGCGGCCGCACGCGUUCUCCCAACACCAAUCGCCCGAGAAAGGCUUCAUCGACUCGCAGUCGACCGGGACUCCGCAUCCGCAGCCGCAGCCAAUACACCCACUGGCACCCACGUCCUCAUCGCCGCAGGCGCUAAAGUCACCUGCGAUGUUUGGCGUUAUCGACCUCUCCUACAGCCGUACAGAUGCGAGCGGCUCGAAUGCGACACCGCCAAUGCCGACCGGCGCUACCGGUGUCGGCGCGAGCGCCGUGGUAAAAACGCGCACACAGGUGAGGACGCCUUCGAGGGCACCGGCAGUGAUCAGUGUACGCGUUCCUGUCCCCUCACUCCCGAGCAACAACAGCACGCCUGCCACGUCCGUCAACCACGCCGAUCCAACGGCAGCCGCGGCGUCAUUAUCCUCGACAUCGGCGGCAGCCACUGCCGUUGCACCGCUAAAUGGCGGCAGCUCCUGCAGCGAACUCACGGCACACUCGGGCACAACCAUUUUGCGCAUGGUCCACAGCGCGGGCCAGAGAGACAGCAGCUACUCGACCUUGCACACCACGCUAAGUCAUAGCCGUGAUGCGACAACUGCCACCGCGACGACAACGGCGACCACGACUCCAGGGUACUCGCCACGUGCGGAUUCCCAGACGCCGGUGCAUACGGCCACGAUCGCCUCCCAGCACGGGACCUUAUUCACACCGCUUUCACCGCUGCUAGCGGAGAGUGAUGACGACGCUGUCGAGGCGGAGCAGCAGCAACAGCAACGCAAGGCAGUGCAGUCUCAGCAGCACAUGAAGUCUGUGGCGUCGACGGCCCUGAUGGCUGCACGGGUGCGAAAGACAGCUGUGUCUUCCCCCACUGUCUCCGUCGACGCGGUGCGCAAGCCGGAGCGGUCGUCGCAGGCGCUGACGCUGACGGCCGACACGGUGCUGCCAGUCGCGGUGCAGGAGGACGAGGCCCGCUGCAGCUCCAGCGCCGCUACCACUGCUACGCGAAGCAGUUCUAACAGCCGCGCACAGCUGUCGUCCUCAGCGUCGCUUUCCAGGUCGAUCAACGCUACGACCUUGACGGAACCCAAGGGUGGUACCGCCGGUGUUGCAGCUAGCGGCACUGGCCGCCUGGAGAGGGUGCGCACCGUGGUACGCGCCGGCAGUGUCAGUGCACGCAACGUGGCUUCCCGUGAGAGAGGGCCGCGCGAGAAGUUCGCCGCCACCUUUGCCGCCAGCAGCUCCUUCUCCAGCAAAGUAGCUGCCGCCGCGUCGAGUGCCUCUGCCUCCUCCAUGGACAUGGGCGCCGUAGCUGGCGCCCGUGGCGCUCACGUGCGUCGGCAAACGAGUGUGAGCACUGCGUCGACGAGCUCAGUUGCCAGCGACAUGCUGAGAGCGCCCCCGGCGUUAGCGAGCUACUCCUUUGUUUCCAGCCGCGCUCAAAUGCAGCGCUACAUCGACCAGUGGCGCGACCGCUUCGAGGAGGACAAGAACGCGUACAAGGAAGGCGGCUAUCUCACCGUGACGCCGGGCCGCAUCGUUCACUCGCGGUACGUGCUGAUUCAGAAGCUGGGCUGGGGCGAGUUCAGCACGGUAUGGCUGGGCUACGAUACAAAGCACGCCACCCUGGGUCGCGGCUUGUCUCAGGCCUUCGUCGCCGUCAAAGUCGCCAAGUGUCGCUCCAACGUUCAGGAGGCAACCCGCUACGAGGUGAGUUUGCUGCGCUAUCUAGAGGCGCGUCUCCCGCGGCAUGCCGCCAUCACGAACAUCAUCGACUGCUUCGACGUGCGGGGCGAGUUCGGCAUGCACACUUGCAUGGUUCUUCCCCUCUGUGGGCCCAACCUCCUUUCCAUCAUCGAACGCAUGAAGGCGGACCGCAGCCGACGCAACGCCGAGGACCUGCGCAUGAUUAAAGAGAUUGUCCUCUCGGUGCUCAUCUCGCUACACGAGCUGAGCGAGCUGAACGUCGUGCACACCGACAUCAAGCCGGAGAAUGUGCUGUGCUCGGCGGUGGACUCGAAGCUGGUGAAUUCGAUGGAGAAGUUCUGCAUUUACAACCAGGAGCGGAGCCACAUGAUCAGCGUCGAGGACUUCAAGAAGUCCAUGGCGCAGCAGUCGACGGAGCACCUGGUGUAUCUUGCAGACUUCGGCUUGUCGGCGCUGCUGGAGCCGCCGGGCUCUGCGCAGCUCUGGAUGUCUGCGUGCAGCAACGUUGACGCCUCCCUGCUGGCACCGCUCAUGCGUUGUAAGAAGAACUUCCCGGUCACGCGGUCUGGUGUCGUGGAUAACCAUCGCGGCACGCUCAUCCAGACUCGCGAGUACCGCGCACCGGAGGUACUGCUGGGCCUUGACUUCACCUGCACGACGGACGUGUGGAGCGUGGGGUGCAUGACGUUUGAGCUCAUCACUGGGUGCUUCCUGAUGGAUCCAAAGAGGAAGACGCGCGAACCGCGCGAUAUGGAUAUCGAGCAUCUCGCCAUGAUGAUGCAGAUCCUCGGCCCACUGCCGUCAGAGAUCACAAGCAUUCGCGUGCGCAACAACGACUACUACGACGCAAUCAUUCAAGGGACUCCGGUACCGAAGAGCGGGUUUCGCCCGCCGCCAGAGUAUCUGCACCGCUUCGUGGACCGAAACGGCAAGUUCAUAUACGCCUCGCGCUACCACUCGUACCCGCGCCGGAACUUGGAGAUGGAACUGGAGCCGUACCUCGGCUUCCGCGAGGCGCAACUGGCAGCCAACUUCAUCUUGUCAUGCCUGCACUCGUACGACCCCAAGAAGCGACCCUCAGCGAAGAAGCUGCUCAGCCAUCAGUGGCUCUACGGGGUUGGGGCCGCGUCCAAGGAGAAGACGCCGUCGCGUUAGAGGAGAGCUAACCUUUCACACAUUGCUAUACGUUGAGCUGUACUUGUUUUAGUGUGAUGCUGUAUCUAUGUGUGUUGGUGAUGUAUGUCUGUCUGAUUGGGUUGCGGUGGAUGGCCAUAUGUGUAGCUUCGCUCGCCGCACAGAAAGAGUGGAUACGCUAUGGUCCGUUCUACCCUCCCCUCCUCCUCCUCCUCUGCGCUGGUGUGUUUGUGUGUGUGCGCGUGUGCGUGUGUGUCUUUGUGGCCACAGAGUGGGCCUCCUCUUCGCCCUUCUUACGUUUCGUUUUCUCUUCCUUCAUGUUUCUCCACCCCUCCCCCUCCCCCUUUCCGGUAUGUGGAAGCGGAUCACGUAGCGCUGUUUCGUCCCCCAUCUCCUUCGCCGUUGCUUCAGCCUUUCGAGUGCCUUUGCUCUCUUCCCUCUACACCCCCCUCCACCCCCGACCCGUAAGCCCUGCUCCGCUCUCUCCAUCUUCCUCGUUCCCCCCUCUCUUCUCUCGUCUUUGCUUUUCUUCUGCAGAAGGCGAGGGAAUCCAUUUAGUAUUGACAGGAUGAUGAUGUGGACGACUGGUGGCCGCUGUCGCUGCGUCGGACGGUGUGUGCCAUGCAGCCGCUCUUUUGUUCUUUUUUCUUCCCAUGCGUGUGAGUUGCUGCCUCUCGUUGUUCUGCUGUUCUUGUCGAUUCAGUGGCUCGUGGCUCUGCAUGACACCCGCCCUCCCCAGACACACACACACACACCAUACACCACACAUCUUCCAUGCUCUCUGCUAGCGCUGUCCUCUGCCGUCGAAUGGGGUGUCUCUCUCUCCGUAUGUGUGCGUCUGCGUUAUUUGCUCUCUGUUCUCUGUUCUCUCUCGUCCGUGCGGUUGUUAGUGGUAGGGUCACUACCAUCGUUGACGUUGUCAUCAGUUGGCGGCUGCCGCUCUUCUCUGUUCUCGAAUCUGUUCCCUUGUCUCCCCCCACCCCACCUCACCUUUUGUUUCCCUUACUUGUUUCUCCCUCUUUUCUUGUCCCCCCCUCUCCUUCACCACUGUCAGCCGCAUCGUUGUCUCCGCCUCACGCACUCUUCUCUUUAUCGACGACCUUCUCGGCCGUCUGUGGUCUUUGUAUUUCCUCUUCGAGGAUGCUCCCUGGCUUCUGGUGCCCCCACCCAACCCCCCUGUUUCUCUCCAGUCUCCCUCUCUUGUCGUGGGUAGUCUAUGCGUGGAUCGCUGUGGUUAUGUGCACUUGGCAGCGUGAGAGCGGCGCGUUGCUGCAGGCGUGUAUGGGCGCUUCAUCACUGCUGACUUGGGUGAUACCAACCGUGUGCGUGUCUUUUUGAUUCCCCCUAUUUUGGCUGUCCGUUUUCCUGGGCGCUCCUUUCGGUUUCGUGUUUUGUGUGCAUGCGUGCUUCUUCUGUGUACGCGUGCGUGUAGGUGCGUGUGCGUCACGUGCGUAGUAUGCGCGCCUCGGGGGACAGACAGAAGAGACCUCUCGCCAGCUCCACUGACAUCCCGACACACACACACAUGUAUAUAUAUAUAUAUAGUUUAUAUUUAUCCGCAUCGGCACGGGCAAUUACCGCCUAGUUGACCGACCAGCCUUUUUGUCGUUUUCAUUCUUAGUGCGGGAGAGGUAGACCUUUUUCCACUCACUUCUCUACCUCGACGGGGAUCGACCAUGAACGACGGGCACCACAAGAUCACCUCUAAGCGUGUGAGCACGGCUCCCCACCUCUUUUCAGCUUCUCUCUCUGUUCCUCCCGCGGCCCUCUGGCUUUCUCCCCUCUCAUCUCUCUCGUUGGCUUGCCCCCUCCUCGCGCGCAUCUGAUCUCGAUAGGCGUCUCGUUGUGGUUGUGUUGUUCCCACCCCCUUUGUUUUCCCCCUUCCUCUUUUGAGCGCUGCCCUCUCCUACCUUUCGCCUGCUGCCACCCCACGCCGUUCUCCAUCAUCUCUUGGCACCCCCACCCCCGUUCAGGUGGCUUUUCCCCUCUCCCCGCCCUUGUCUGUUUCCUCUCGUCGUUUACGCCUCCUCGUGCACGUGUGUCGCUGCUACUCGUGGAGUGGUGCACCGUUGGUGCAGACGAUCUUGCGCACGCGGGGGGGGGCGGUGCCUUUCUGUGUGGGUGUGCGUCUUGGCCUGCGAGCAGCUGUGCAUCUCUGUCGGAGGAGAGUGGGUGCCACAUACUUGUCGGCCGCUUCGGUGCAGCCCCCUCCCCUCCCCCUUUCCCCUGAUACACCCGCUCUGUCUCAUCUUCGGGGCUGUGACCGUUGGUGUUCCACGGGCUGCGUGCGCUUGUUUUUCGCCCAUCACACGCGGCGAAAGUUGAUUGCCUUCUUCAAACAGGUGGCAUGGACAACAGAAGCGAGGCCCCCCACCUCCCCCCCCCCCCCACACACAACCACCAAAGGGGGGUGUCUGUGUGUCUGGGGAGGUGGCAAGCACAGCCUGUAGCGGCAGAGCGAUACCGACAGAGAGAGCGUGGUUGCCGAAUGGCGCAUCUAGGUGGCCCCCUAGUCUUUCUGUAGCUCGAUGUGGAUUGAAGGGACGGAAAAGGGAAGAUGCCGCCGUCUCUUCGUCCCCUCUCUCCUUGUGUGCAAUACACAGACACAU